UCGGGUGGGUUGCCGAUGCACGUCGCUGACCCGGGGUGGCGGGCGGCUGUGAGAAAGCGUCGCCGAGCCGACUCACCAGAAACGGAACGGGCGCGGGCAGGGUUACCCCCGACAAGAACACGAACGUCGGCGAGGUGCGUGACGGCGAGGCCGGCCGGUCCUCUCCCGUCUCUCAUCGCGCGUGCGCCCSCAAGACGGUGGGGCGCCGAGGGAGCGACACGAGGUCGCCCGCACGCGACUUCCGGCGGGAUUAAAGACGGACCGGCUCGCCACGUGUAACGAUCACGUCAGGAUUUCCUCCUCCCCGGCAGAAGGGGGCAGUUACGUUCGCGGCCAGCGGCGGUGCCCCAGCGACACAAACGAA
rnacentral:rRNA from 1 species